AGCUAUAUUAGUAAAAGGGAUAGGGAUAAAUUUGUCUACUCUAUUUUGACCAGAACCUGAGGUAUCCUUGGCAUCCUGCUUUUUUUUAACCAAGCUCCCAGGUGAUUCUGGGGUACAAACAGGUUUGAGGAAAACCAAGUAGCUCUUAACCAAAGAAGCAGGCCAUGAAUCACAUUACCACUUAUCAGUUUAAAAGCUUGGAAAUGUUUUCUUAUUUCUUCUGUAUAUAAAUUAGAGUAGGCUCAAUGUCAUCCUUAUAAUCACAUCACCAUCACUCAGUUGCUUUCUGAUACAUCUUGAGUCAGGAAGAUGAGGAUCACCAUUUAGCUUGCACAAGAACCCACAACCCCACUGCCUAAGCUGUGGGCAGCAGUGAGCAGCCUACAUGUUAGUUAUGCCUUAUUAAUAGCAACAGCUAGUAUGAGUUACUGUUCUGCUUUACUUCACUGCAAAAUAUCUUUUGGGUUUCAACAACACCUGUAUGCCCAUAGGAGUAUGCCAUGCAUGUGACUCUUCCCUAUCACGUACUAUGGGGGAAAGACAAAGGGCCAAACGUUGCAGCAGGAACCCUGCAGAACUUCAGAUCAGGUCUAUCACUUUGCUCUGUGACACUGGACAUGCUGCUAUGCCUCUCUGGCUCCUGGGUGCCUGGAUGAUCAGAUAAAGCAUCACGCUGACCUGGGCUUCUCACCUGUUUAGCAAUAAACUAUGAAGCAGGAUGCCAGCAAUAAACAUAAGCCCAGCUAAGCCAGGAUACAAAGGAGUGGCUUCAUUUUUUGUUCUCAGAAGGGAGAAAGGAGAGGUGACUCCCACUCAGGCAAUCAUGUCUACCCAGAACCUUAGAAGAUGACCUUAUUUGGAAAAAGGCUCUUUGCACAGACAAUUAGAUAAGAAUCUUGAAAUGAGAUCAUACUGGAUGAGGAUGGGUCAUAAAUCCAAUGUGACUACCCUUAAAAGAGACAGAAAAGGACACACGGAGAAACAGAAGGCCAUGUGAAGAUGAAGACGAGACUGGAGUGAUGUAGUUAUAAGCCAAAGAGCCAGCCCGGAUGACCAAAACCAUUAGAAGCAAAAUAGAAGAAAGGAAGGAUUCUCCCCUAGAGCCUUCAGAGGGAGCAUGGCCCUGCUGACACCUCAAUCUUAGACUUCUGGCUUCUAGAACUGGGAGAGAAUAAAUUUCUUUCAUUUUAAGCCACUAAAUGUGUGCUAAUUUGUUGCAGCAGCUCUAGAAAACUAAUAUAGGGACCAUAAGAAUUCAUUUGAAAAAGGGGUUCUGUGCUCUUAAGAAGGAAUUCCACUGCUACAAAGGUUAACAACCACUAAGCAAGUCCUCAUUUUACGCAGAGAAGCAAUUUGCCCAAUGUCACACAGCAAAUCAGGAAAAAGAAUGGAAGUGUUCUAGAACACACCUGCUGCAGCACUGCCUCCCAGUGGGGAUGACUAGGGAGACCAGCAGGUCACCAGCAGGCCCAGCUGUGCAGCUUCUGUGUUCAGGUUCUCAUGAAGUUAGGACUCCACUUCGCCAUCCACCUGCCUAGCUCCACGGCCCAGACCAGUCUGAUAUGGAUGAGCUGCUUGAACCCUCCUGAGGGGUGGGGAACUUCUAUCUAGGACGGUCAGAACACCUCAGUCUCGGGAAGCCAACUCCAUACAUUAGUUUGACUUGUGGAUUGGCUCUUCUGGAGACACCUUUAAAGGUAGCUCCCAGAAGAGGAUAUGCACUGUCUGGAUAAGUUUGAGGAUAAAAAGACAGAAAGACUUGGGUUCAAACCCCAGCUCCUCGACCUACUGCAUGUCCUUUCUAAACUCAGGCUCCUCAUCAAUGAAAAUGGGGGUACAGUACCCACCUCACAGGAAUGUGGAGGUAAGAAAUGAUGUAUAGUUGAAUUUUGUGAAUGGUGAUACUCAACCACUUUUGACUUAUAAGAACCACAAUUUCAUUCCAUCAGGUUCAACCUAACAUGUGCAGUAUAUAGUGGAGCUGAAAAUAAAAAGGUUUUAAGGCACCAGAUAGCUAAUAAAGGGCCACUGGGAUAUAGACAAAACAUUGGCAUUUUAAAACAUUUUGGACAUACGUGGCUGCCUUCAUCUGACUCAAAGCAAAAACUGAUCAGUGGUGAGGCAGGCACUGUCACUUUUCAUCACAGUCAUUUGAAACAAAGGAUUUUAUAGCUAAGCAGGAGAAGAUUCCUUCCAAAGAAGAUGGAGACAGACCAGACAGUGAACGCUGUCACUAUGUCAUUGGUGGCACCUUGGGCCUGGUCAGUCGCCAACCCUCUGCUUCUUGGGCGUCCAGGUCGAGUGUACUGACAGACGACAUAAUGGACACUGUUGCUUCCCCCAGCAGCCACUGCCCUCUUCCUUUUCCUAACAACAUCCCUAGUGUGCCCAGAAAGCCACCCUCCUGCUGACACCCACGAGGCUCAGAGAAGCUCAGACCUUGCACCUCAGGUGGACUGUCAGCAGAGCCUACUUCUUGGGCCAGUUACUGGCCCAGCCGUGGCAAAGUUACCUGAGUGGGACCAAUUCAGCUGAGGAAUGAGGUGUCGCAUGCCAUGUUCCUACCCACUGGACAGAAAAAGAAGGUGUUGUCCUAAGGCUGCUGGCUGCCAUCUGCUGACCAUGCGGAAACCAGCUUGAGGCAAAGACAGUGCCUAGGACGGCAUGGCCAAAGAGAUACAGACGACCCUGGUGACAUCUCCAAGCCCCAUCUCUGGACAUCCUGCUGUGAGAAAUGGUAACUCCUCAUUGCUGAAGCCAGGUUGGGUUGGGAUUUUGGCUUCCCACAGCCAGAACAUUCCAACUGGUAUGGAGGGAGAACUUGUUUGCAAAGUGUCAUGCAUGAGGCAAACAUGCAGGGUCUGGCUGCAUCUCCUGUUUCUGAGCUCUGUGCUCUAGCUUAGGGGGAUUAUUUGGCAUCAGUUUCCCCUGGACUCUUCUAUAACUUGGGUAAAUGAAGCCCCCUCCCUAAGAAACCUUUUCAUGAGACAUGAAAACAAUCAAAUAGAGGAUCUGCGACAAUUUUCUAUACAGGUGACACCUGCCAGUAGGGAACGAGAACUAAGGCCACCAAAGUGUCACAGCACGGGCAGAAGGUGGGCUUCAGUGAGCCCUGCAGGCAGGAAGUACCAGACCCCUCCUGAGGAGCAAACAAGUCCUCUGGCGUGGCUGUUUCCUGGAGCUUUCAGAGGGACAGAGAUGUGAUAUCUGAACAGUACAAAGGCAGGGGCUAGGAGGCAGUCCAGGGAAUGUGACCCAAGGACACCACACAAUCCAGUCUGGUUGGAAUGGAUGGUUCACAAGGAGAAGUAGAGAGAAACUUAGAAAAAUCAGCUGAGGGUGUGAUGCCAGAUCAAGGAGUUUGAACUGUAUCUUCUAGGCAAUAGGGAGCUAUUAUAGGUCUUGGAGCAGAGCAGCCUGGAGGUUCUCUGGGAGAACAGAGGUAGAAAAACCAGUUAGGAGCUCCCAAGCUCAGAGUCUCCCCAUUUAAUACAGGAGAGGAGAGCCUGAGUGUUAGAAUGGGGGGCCUAGAAGGGAGCGCACAGAGGAAGCUGGUGGGUCACACUCUGCAUGAAGUGGGCACAGGAGCAUGUUCCUGAUGGCAAUUCGAGUCCCAAAGUCUGCAGAUGAUUUAAAUUUAAAUAAAUUCUGAUGAACUCAAAGCUCAUCCUUUAAUAAAACUUCCACUCAUUCACAUCUUAAUGGGCCUUCUUGGUGGUGAGAGAAGAGGAUAAAGUCACAGCUAUGUUGAGGGCCCUGCAGAAAGGAGAAUAUAGUGGGGCCCUGACUUCAUGUCCUUCAUUCAGGUCUUCAAGGCUCUUGUGGAACACGGGCUGAGAACUUCUGGGCCAGCCACAGGUGAGAGGCCAGAGGUCUGUGGCUGCCUUCUUAGCUGGGUUUUAACAUCACCUCCAGUCAGCCUUGUUCAUCUCUAGGGGAGUGUCCCUGUGAGCCUAGAAAUCCUGCAGCUGAGAAAUCUAAUUAAACUCAGUGUUUCCUCAGUCUUUUCCAACCCAUACACCCAUUGAUAAUAAAGAGAAACUCUCUCAUGCCCCAAACUGACCUGUAAAGUUCAGUAUCCCCUUCUCCCUCAUUCAUAAGACUCUCUUCUGCAAAGUCUGCUCCUCAAGACCAGUGGAUUCUAUCAACCUUUACUUUCUGAAAUCGGUAUUUUAUAUCAACAUCUAUCUAUAUAUUUUACUUUUCAAUGUAAAAUUAUAUCACUGCCAUGCUCUUUCAAAUAGGCAUGCCCCCAACUGGACAUUCUCCAUACAACCCCACCAACUAAGAACUACUGUGCUGAACUACAUUAAAGUGCUGAUAUGACCAUUUUUGACCAGUGUCCCAUGGUCCUGCCAUAAGAACCAACUAACCUUACCACCACCAUGGUAUGGACAGUUCUUCUCAAGAGAGGACACCUGCGUGCCCAGUAAGACAUGCCCUCAGCUGGAGUUCCGACAUCUGAUCUCUAGGAGGAAAGAAGAGAAGCCAGGAGCUAGAAAGAAACCAGAAAGAGGGAGAGUUCAUUGACAUUUGAGGUUAGGAGAAGGAAAAAAAAAGGAUAAAAUAAGAAAAGGGACAAAAGGUUUAAAAAGAGAAUGGAAAGACAGCAAGGAGAGACUGUCUUACCAGGGGGUGGAAGGGAGACCACCCUGAGAUCCUCAGCUCAGAUCUAGACCAGGGAACUGAAGAGGAACUCACACUGGGGUGGCAGGGAGGAAGGCACCAGGGAGGAACAUGAGCAGGAGGAACAGUGGGAAUAUUUGUGAGUGUUUACCCUAAAGGAAUGACUGGACUGGCAGUUGUAAGAGGAACUAUGUCAAGCACAGUUCAAACACUUUUUGUAUACACAAAAUAUCAAGGUGCUAAUUUCAGACACUGAUUCUCCUCCCACAAAGUAUCUAGUGAUAACUGUCAUAGCUAAGGAAAUGGUUGGAAUUAUAGGCGUUCCUAGUUCAGUUCACCAAGAGGGCCUGGAAGCAAUGACAGUGCAGUAGCAAUCAGUAUACCCAGCACCCAGAUCUGUGUUUCUAAAAAUCUUUCUCUACAAAAAGGAACCAGAGCUCCUUGGAGAAAUGGUUUAUUCCAGGGCUAGGGCAGGGAAAGUACAAGACAAGCUUGGAACAUUUUGUAGUGCCAGAAUGUAAAAGUAUUAAAAAAAAAAUGAUGGGGAGACAGUGAAAAGGCACAGGAGCCAGCAUGAAAGAGCUCCCAACAGCUAAAUCUUGGAUAAUUUUAGUACCAAAAUUAAAAAGUAAUAGUAAUGAAUUAUAACCCAUAGAAUAAAAUAUCCAUGAGUCAAUAUUGAUAUGAAUAAAUAAUUAGGAGAGAAAGGACAGCUCUUCCUUAGAGAAUUCCAAUUAAAAAAUGUAGAAGCAAUCAUGGAAAUAGAUCACCAUUUGGCAAACAUCACAGUAAUAACUGUUGCAGGCAAGAUCUGCUGAUAGAUACUAAAAUUAGUGGGUGAAAAAGUAUGAUGAGAGGAUAUUUGCAUAGUCUCAAAGAUUCUUCCCAUGAGGUGCAUAUUAAUUACAAAGGUAAAAAUAGAAACUACAGUAGAGAAGCCUGGCAGACAUGCCCUGAACCAAGUAAUCAAAAUUAACAUCACCUGUAAUAACCUAUUGACGUAAUGUACCCCUUUAUAUGAUGCACUGAGACAAGACCUCACUUCUGUGGUUUUCUUGCCCAAAAUGCGUAACUUCAAUCUACAUUUCUAAAUGGGGAUUCGUGAUUCUCGCUCCAGUUCUAGCUCUGAAUAAGGUCUGUAGGUUAGCUAAUAGAGAAAAUCUUAAACCCAAUUUAAGGGAUGUUCUACCAAAUACCUGGCCAGUACUUGACAGGGCUAAGGUCAUAAAAGACAAGGGAAGAUGGAGGAGCUGCCUCAGAUCGGAGGAGACUAAAGAGACACAGCAACUUAAUGCAGUGUGGGAUUCUGGUUUGCGUCCUGGACCAGAAAGGGAAUAUUAGUGGGAUGAUUUUGAAUAAGGUCUGCAGUUUAAUGUGUUGUGUGAAUUUCCUGGUUUUGAUCAUUACAUUGUGCUCUGUAAGAUGUUAUUAGUAGGGGAAGUGGGGAGAAAUGGUUUAUGUAACUUUUUUGUAAGUCUAAAAUGUAUUCAAAAUAAAAAAGUUAUUUUAAAUUAUCUAUUUUUAAAAUAAAUUAGAUAAGAAACAUGA